rnacentral:sRNA from 1 species
AUACGGGCUACUUUUGCGUAAAAGGGGAGACCCUCUUGCGGCUGACUUAGCUGCUCGGAAAAGAUCUCCGUGGCAACGUUGAUCCUAACACUUGAGCACCAGCUGUGUACAGCUGGUACACGGCUCCAACUUUGCCCUCAGGGAAGCUGCGAUUUUCUUGCUGGCUCAUUGGAUCCCCACACAGAUUUACCGGGAGGACCAUGUAGAUUGCUCAACAAAUUCAAGUUCCUAUUAGCAGAUUUCCAGGACCUCAGUCUGAGGAAUGUCGCCCCUCAGUGAUCAAGACCACCUCCAGGCAGCUGCUCACCCUGGCUCAGGGGUCCGAUCUAUCCUGAGUGGUUAAUCAGCAGCGAACUCCGCCCUGGGCUACAAAUGUCUCUGUGGACAAGACCCUUUGAGGAAAACAGCAGGAAGUUCCUUUGUCCAGCCCUCCCAGGACAAGGAGAAAAUCCUGUUUUCACAAGCUCACAGGACUGUUGAGGGCCAGUGGGCGAAGACACAGGCAGCCAGACCCAGCCUGGCCCCCUGCUCCAUGCCCAGGACCCACGUGGCAGAGCCAAGAAGCAUCAGCAAGUGGUCCACACGAACACCAUGACACCUGUGGCCCCCUGCAUCCCAUCCACAUGAACAUCAGGACAUCUGUGGCCCCCUGCAUCCCAUCCACAUGAACAUCAUGACACCUGUGGCCCCCUGCAUCCCAUCAGCAUGAACACCAUGACACCUGUGGCCCCCUGCAUCCCAUAAAUAUAAUGUUAAAGAUGA